AGGAAGCAGCUGCUUGCAGUUGUGGACUAGUGGCGGACGGGUGAGUAACGCGUGGGAAUCUACCAUAUAGUGGGGGACAGCCCGGAGAAAUCCGGAUUAAUACCGCAUACCUUCUACGGAAGAAAGGCUUCGGCCGCUAUUUGAUGAGCCCGCGUAAGAUUAGCUAGUUGGUGAGGUAAGAGCUCACCAAGGCAACGAUCUUUAGCUGGUCUGAGAGGAUGAUCAGCAACACUGGGACUGAGACACGGCCCAGACUCCUACGGGAGGCAGCAGUGGGGAAUCUUGGACAAUGGGCGCAAGCCUGAUCCAGCCAUGCCGCGUGUGUGAUGAAGGCCUUAGGGUCGUAAAGCACUUUCGCCAGAGAUGAUAAUGACAGUAUCUGGUAAAGAAACCCCGGCUAACUCCGUGCCAGCAGCCGCGGUAAUACGGAGGGGGUUAGCGUUGUUCGGAAUUACUGGGCGUAAAGCGCACGUAGGCGGACUAGUCAGUCAGAGGUGAAAUCCCAGGGCUCAACCCUGGAACUGCCUUUGAUACUGCUAGUCUUGAGUUCGAGAGAGGUGAGUGGAAUUCCGAGUGUAGAGGUGAAAUUCGUAGAUAUUCGGAGGAACACCAGUGGCGAANGCGGCUCACUGGCUCGAUACUGACGCUGANGUGCGAAAGUGUGGGGAGCAAACAGGAUUAGAUACCCUGGUAGUCCACACCGUAAACGAUGAAUGCCAGUCGUCGGGCAGUAUACUGUUCGGNGACNCACCUAACGGAUUAAGCAUUCCNCCUGGGGNAGUACGGUC
rnacentral:rRNA from 1 species